rnacentral:snRNA from 1 species
AUACUUACUUGGCAGGGGAGACACCAUGAUCAUGAAGGUGGUUUUCCCAGGGUGAGGCUCAUCCAUUGCCCUCCAGGUGUGCUGACCACUGUGAUUUGCCCAAAUGCAGGAAACCCGACUGCAUAAUUUGUGUCUUUAUGCAGAUAAUUUUAUCAUGAU